CAAUGUUUCCUCAGUUUGCGAGCUGAGAACUAGCCCUUGUGCAGACAAAAUUGGAAAAGUUAAAUUCACUUCGUAUGUUAUUUGUUCUGAAAGGAAAAGUUCUGCAGAAGAUAAGACAACCGAAAUUGUCUCACUGCCUUACAACGAGGCAAUGAAUGUUAUUCUUGUGUGCUUACAACAGAAAUUGGAAUGGGAG